rnacentral:rRNA from 1 species
ACUCCUACGGGAGGCAGCAGUGGGGAAUAUUGGACAAUGGGGGGAACACUGAUCCAGCCAUGCCGCGUGUGUGAAGAAGGCCUUUUGGUUGUAAAGCACUUUAAGCGAGGAGGAGGCUUACCUGGUUAAUACCCGGGAUAAGUGGACGUUACUCGCAGAAUAAGCACCGGCUAACUCCGUGCCAGCAGCCGCGGUAAUACGAAGGGGGCUAGCGUUGCUCGGAAUCACUGGGCGUAAAGGGCGCGUAGGCGGACUUUUAAGUCGGGGUGAAAGCCCAGGGCUCAACCCUGGAAUUGCCUUCGAUACUGGGAGUCUUGAGUUCGGAAGAGGUUGGUGGAACUGCGAGUGUAGAGGUGAAAUUCGUAGAUAUUCGCAAGAACACCGGUGGCGAAGGCGGCCAACUGGUCCGAUACUGACGCUGAGGCGCGAAAGCGUGGGGAGCAAACAGGAUUAGAUACCCUGGUAGCUA